rnacentral:rRNA from 1 species
CUCCUACGGGAGGCAGCAGUGGGGAAUCUUCCGCAAUGGACGAAAGUCUGACGGAGCAACGCCGCGUGAGUGAUGAAGGAUUUCGGUCUGUAAAGCUCUGUUGUUUAUGACGAAGUGCAGUGUGUGAACAAUGCAUUGCAAUGACGGUAGUAAACGAGGAAGCCACGGCUAACUACGUGCCAGCAGCCGCGGUAAUACGUAGGUGGCGAGCGUUGUCCGGAAUUAUUGGGCGUAAAGAGCAUGUAGGCGGCUUAAUAAGUCGAGCGUGAAAAUGCGGGGCUCAACCCCGUAUGGCGCUGGAAACUGUUAGGCUUGAGUGCAGGAGAGGAAAGGGGAAUUCCCAGUGUAGCGGUGAAAUGCGUAGAUAUUGGGAGGA